rnacentral:rRNA from 1 species
AUGGCUGAUGGCGGCGGCGGCGGCGGGGGCGAGUGUAGCAAUCUCAACGACCCCAUCCCUUCCCCCGCAAGAACUGUGACGGCGGAUGGCAGCGGGGAAGAUGUCGUGGAUGGGACCCCUCCGCCGUUCAAAAUCCGCAAGCUGGGCGCUCCGGGUACGAGUGAGGCCAUGGCUGCCAGGGACGGCAAGAUCGGCGAGCGGAUGGAUCCGGAUGAGGCCAUUGAGUUGAUGGCUGCCAGAGGCGGGCAUGUGGGUGCAGAGAUGAAGCAAUUCAAGUGCGGCGAGGUUGCAGACGAUGAGCUUCACAAGGACAAGAUGAACGGAGGCAAAUCAAAUCAGCAGAUCAAGAACAAGAUGACCCUGGAGGAGAUGGACCUAGGCAAAUCAAACUCCAUCAUCUCCGAGCAGGAGAUCAAGGAGCUCUGUACGCAGAUGGACGAGAUGGUCGCUUUUAUGAAUUACAGGAUCAUACCAGCAGCCCCACUCAUCUGCAGCAGCACCAAGGAGAUGCCGAAAGAUGAAGAAGACAAGGCGCUGCAGUCGGGGGUCGACGGCAUCUUACAGCGGCUAGCUGAUAUGCGGCGCGACAUGUCCAAGCUCAAAUCGGAACUGGCCCCUUUCUGGCACGAAUACCCAUAUGAGAAGGAGUCGGAGCUGACUCCGGAGGAGGAGAGGGAGAAGAGGAUCAAGUCCUGGCAGGAGUAUCAGAAGCUGGACAACAAGGAGAAGGCCAGCAAGGAGAUGGAGUUCGACGUGGACGACUUCGAGGGCUACUGUCAAGGCCUGAAAUCUUUAGUUGAACACUUCGGAUUAACAACCGUAGUGAGCCCCAUGCACUUUACACACUACACGCCCAGACAGGUCCCACUCGAUCUUACUUCCAACAAAAUCACCUUACAGAUCUUCUCCUUCAAAAUUGCCAACAUCGAUUUGGACCUGCAAUGGCCACUCCUGGAAUGGCCACUCAAAGUGUACGGCCUCGUCGCUGCACGAGACAAUGUGGAUCGCAGACGCAAUAUUCUCUUCUUGCGGGAAAGGGAGAAUUUCCAAGAGAUCACUCAAGAAAAACCCUUCUUGUGCUUGACUGGCCCAUCUCGUGCAAUUUUGGCUGAGGACCCUGUUAGCUUUGAAGUUCAACUAAAACUUAAGGGCCCCUCAGAGUCUGAGGACACAGUGUUGAUCACUAAGAGAUGGCAGCACAGUCACUAUCAUGCCGAUAAUGAUUUAUAUACUCUUACCUUGGAGAACCUUCUUUGCACAACAGAGUUAAGCCUGCAGCAACUAUACCGUGAAUCAGUCCAAGCAACUUUGUUGCGUGUCGGUGGCUUUGUUAAAGGCAGUACAACCCCUUUCAUUCAUGGAGGCCGACUUGCUUGCUCCUCACCACAUCAUGGUGGUCAAGGCAGUGCCCCGCCCACCCAAGUUGUGUUGCUUGAUUCUCGUUAUUGUGAUGGUGGAAAGUUGCCAAUAGGUGAAGAUGGUUACCUUGAUCUGUCAAGGCAUGUUGUUUCUGUUGAAUUAAGGACAGUUGGUGACGAUCCUGAAGAAUUGGAAGAAACCUUGAAUGUUUUCAUAGAAGCCUACUCAGACUCUCCUCCUAAAGUUUCUGCGAAAGCUGAUUUCUUGGUCAAGCCUCAGUAUUGCGGCAUAAGUGAACAUGAAUGUGUCCUUCACGGCUCUACGGUGAAGAUUACCAUUGCUUGGUCACCUAUUCUUCGAACCAACAAGGUUAUUCUGUGA